rnacentral:rRNA from 1 species
GACGAACGCUGGCGGCGUGCUUAACACAUGCAAGUCGAACGGAAAGGCCCUGCUUUUGUGGGGUGCUCGAGUGGCGAACGAGUGAGUAACACGUGAGUAACCUGCCCUUGACUUUGGGAUAACUUCAGGAAACUGGGGCUAAUACCGGAUAGGAGCUCCUGCUGCAUGGUGGGGGUUGGAAAGUUUCGGCGGUUGGGGAUGGACUCGCGGCUUAUCAGCUUGUUGGUGGGGUAGUGGCUUACCAAGGCUUUGACGGGUAGCCGGCCUGAGAGGGUGACCGGCCACAUUGGGACUGCGAUACGGCCCAGACUCCUACGGGAGGCAGCAGUGGGGAAUAUUGCACAAUGGGCGGAAGCCUGAUGCAGCAACGCCGCGUGCGGGAUGACGGCCUUCGGGUUGUAAACCGCUUUCGCCUGUGACGAAGCGUGAGUGACGGUAAUGGGUAAAGAAGCACCGGCUAACUACGUG